CACAUGACUUAUUACACGUUUAACAUGAAUGAUAGGUUUAUAUCAAUGUGCUCGUUAUUGCUCAUUCACAGGGAUCUGGAAUCUACGACUAAUAAUAAACACAGACAGUUAAAUUCACUGGAACAAGACAGGAUAAAAUCCUGAUGAAUAAUCCUGAUAAAAUUUGCUCCCAGACUUUUGAAUUCAAAUUUUCGGUGUUGGUCUGCCCUCAUGUUUAAUUUUCAGUCUCUUCUCGUAAGUGUGAGCACCAGAAGACUAAGCGAGCUGCUAGCAGAAGAAGGAAGUGACUGCUAGCUAGAUUAAUAAACAACAAAUUUCAGAAAUGAAAGACAAAAAGCCAGAACAGCUUGUAGUUACACUGGAAAAUGUAUGUAUUGUGAGGAAUUAGCCCGGGGAAGGGCGGCGCACAGACCCACAGGAGACCAAAGGAUGGUGGCAGACGGUGCUUUAUUGUGGCUAGGGUGAGGUGAACGUGUUAUAAAUGGAAGAGUGCGGGGGUUUGUGAAGGCGCGACGGCCGGCGGAGUCGACUCGUGGCGGAGGCGGGAUUCCCGAGGCGGGGCGGGGGUUUUCCCGGGCCGGCGUCCUCCGUGUGUGCGACUCUCACUAUCCGGCGGUCUCGUCCGCGCUUACGCCUCCUGGAGAGAGAGAGAGAGAGAGAGAGAGAGAGAGAGAGAGAGAGAAAUUAGCGUGGGGCGUGAGGUUACCGUCGUGAUCGGAGGUUGCGAAUCGCUGCAAACACGCACGGAGUCCGUUUUGACGCCACGAUAUUCUCUUCCCCUUCCCGGCCGGAAGCGCGCCCUUUUAUCCUCCUCCGUCGGCGCCUGAGUGGUGGGACUUCCCCGUUGGAUCCGCCAAUCGCUGGCCGGAGUCGCGUCAGUCCCGCCCUGCCGCGGCGGUCCUUCCGGCUGGCGGAAUGUUCGGCAGGAAGCUGCCCACGUCGUGCCGGUGCGGCAGUCGGAGAAGGAGCGUUUUCCCUCUUGUGUGCGCCGGAUCUCUGCCCGUCGCGACAGUAUGUACUGUUUAUUUACUUUCCUAUGCCCUACACAAAGCUCAACAUCACAUAGAAUAAAUGAAGAAAUGGACAUUAUGAAAACAACGGAAUUGAAACAAAAAUGAAAUAAAUAAAUGAACAGAAUAAUGACCAGCACGGUGCAGGUAUUGCAAACUAAUAAAUUAAUAAAUUCAGCAGAUUCAGAAAAGUCAACUGAUGAAGUUGAAAUAAAUGUUCAGAAGUAUCACAGUAUGUACCAACUGCAUACGAGAAAGCAAGGGUUAUUCACCUCCUGACGAACCCCAGUCUGGAUCCCAGACAUCAGCAACUACAGACUGGUAUCACUUCUCUCUUCUCUUUCUAAAAUCCUCGAAUGCACCAUCUACGAUCAACUGACUCGCUGUUUCUCACAGAACAACCUCCAGGAUCCUAAGCAGUCCGGUUCAAGGUGACGUCACUGAGAAGCUCCAUGCUCCGUUUACUAUCACAGAGCAACAGUGCAGAGGAAACAAAAGGAAAGAAAAGUUUCUGCGUGUUGGUCCAGGUGGUGUUGCCGUACCUAGUUGUCCAAGAUGCGUGCGCUACUCAGAUCAGGCAGCGACUCACAUCCAUGGGCCUUGCUGGGCCUCAUAUACGAUACAUCAGAUGUGCUGCUCCUGCAAGGACCGUGUUGCAGCAAGGCAAGAGUGAAAACUCAUCGUACUAGUUGAACACACCUAAGCUGGUAAAUGCAGGCGACUUUAUGCAAAUGUGGAGUGACUUGGUGCAGAGACUACCAAUGGGAGUGAAGACAGGAGAGUGCACGUGAUAAGUAGAAGCUACCAGAAGGAGCGAGGACCUGAGGCUGAGACGCCCGGCUCUGGGAACAAGCAGCACCAAGCCAGCCACUUCACCCAGGAAGCACGGAGACCAUGGCCGAGGAGGCCAUAAGCUAAGCUAAGCUAAGCUAAUUGCACUUUUCCCACAGACAGAUGGCCUCAGUGGCAAAGAGCACACACUGCUUCUCCUCGAUCUCAUAGGAUGUGAUGCAUAUAUACACUGGUGAGUUUUAUAUAAGAUCCUCUUCCUCCAGAAGGUUCCAUUUUAGCAGCAAGAAAACUGAUUAAUUGUCAAAAGUGGAAUGUUAGUCGCACCACCCACUGACAAAUGUUACUAUGACAACUGGUAGCAGGAACACCUACUGGCGACUUCAUAGUACAGCGACUAUGAACGUAGCAUCAGAUAGAUAAGAAAGUUUGAGCAGCGUGUCUCAGCUAGGUUAGAGUUCAGAUGCUGGGAAGGUGGGAUUUACAAGGGAUUCAAGCCUCGAUAUUUUGUGAUAGAAAUAUGUGGACUUGGUGUAUGACUGCAGGUUGCCUUUUGCCUCAUAAAUGAAAUAGUGUAUAGUGAGUGUUGACAUUAUGAAAUUGACUAUUGUAACAAAAAAACAUAUAUUUUAAUACUCAUAUGAAAUAUACAGUAGGAAAAGAAUAAUGUGCACAACAGUUCAGAUAUUCCAAACUGUUGUUUAAUUGAUUUAGCCAUAAUUAUUCAACAGUCAACUCAACAAUUCCGGUAGUAGUAGUAGUAACCCUAACCCAGACAUCACAAUCAUCAUAUUCAUGUGUUCAUAGAUAUAGAACAAAGUGAAAGUAAAAAGUACAGAUGUUUAUUAUAAAACAACAACAAUCACAAAUCAACGCCGAUCAUCUCUGGACAACAGCAACUCAGUCAAUCAGUAGUCCCACCCCACCCCCAACUCCUACAGCCCACACUUCUAUUCAGAAACUGCCUUUACCUUCACACUCUUUGAAGGAAGAUCCACAUGUUGACAUGUUGUGUAUUUGUGUGUGUGUGUGUGUGUGUGUGUGUGUGUGUGUGUGUGUGUGUGUGUGUGUGUGUGUGUGUUUUAAUGCCUGUUCUGGAUUCCUGGAUGUGUAGCCAGAUAGUAAAAUCCAUCUUUUGGGAUCUGCUGUGGAGCUGCUAAGGGCAGAGAAAUACAGAGAAACAUCUGAUUACUAACUGAUAUACUGAAGUUAUUUUAUCAUUCUUAGAGAAGGCAAUCCUGUAAUUCUGCUCCUUUACUUCAAAUGCUGCAUAAAUGAGCAUUAGGCUCUGUUCUGGUAACAAAAGAAAUCUAAAGUAUUAUUUCACAUACAUGCUGCACAUUUUGGACUCUUAUAGACUGUUUUUAGUUUCAGCUGUUUGCCUAAAGUGUGCAGCCUGUCAAUUCUGAAAAAAACAACAACAUUAGUUUAUGAAGCUCACGUUCUCAUUCUGAGUCAUUUAUAUUUCUAAGCCACAUAAAUAAAUAAACUUUACAUUAAUAGUAAACUCACCUGGUUGAGGAGCUGAGGGAGUCUCGUAAAUUGACUCAUAAACAUGUAUCUCAUCCAAAGAUUCUGCUGAGACACAGAGAGUAGGGGUCACCACUAGGGGUCACUAUUCUUAUACACAACUAAUCCCCAUUCUUUUCAUUUCAGUGCAAAGUUUACAGUCAGUAAUGCAGUAAUUAUGUGAUUUGCUUUUAUAGUAUAAUAAUAAUAAUAAUAAGAAGAAGAAGAAGAAGAAGAAUGUUGUGGUCUGAUGAAAAGUUAAUGUUAACACCCCAGAGAUGAUUAUUUUCCAGAUCCCUGAGUGUUUUUUUUCCUCUUAUACCGCAGCAAUUUGCCAACAAUUACACUACAGUUCCUUUGAGACAUGUGAAGUCAGCCAACCACAACUUUUCUUUUUUUUUGACUUUUACUUACAUUUACAUUUAUUCACUAAGCAGACGCUUUUAUCCUAAGCGACUUACAAAUGAGAAAGAUACAAGCAAAGCGAUAUCAAGCAGAGAACAAUACAAGAAGUGCUACCAUACAAGAUCUAUUAAUUGAAUUCCAGAAGAAGCAAAGUGCAGAGUAGAGGUGUAAGUGCAUUUUUUUUAUUAUUAUUAUUAUAAUGAAUUUGUUAGGUGUUCAUAGAAGAGGUGGGUCUUUAGUUGUUUUUUGAAGAUGGUGAGAGAUUCUGCGGUCUGGAUUGAAUUUUUUAUUCAUUUAUCGAGUAAUCGAAGCAGAGCUGGGUGAAGUAUUCCAUAGCUAGCGCCCUCAAUACCACAAACUUGACGCUGAACCUCAUUAAAUGCGGCCCGGGCCCGGGCUGUCUUGGCUGUGUAGACAGGGGAAACGGAGAUGGUCACAUCCCUCACUUUAAUCCGCUGGAGCUCUCUCUCACGGCGUAAAAUAUCAACACAGCCACUGUGAUAGUGGAAUCUGCACACAAUAACUCGUGGUCGUUCACCAGGCUUGGGCUUCGGCUGAAGGGUCCGGUGGGACCGGUCCAGAACCGGCUCCUUCUCCAGACCACACGCUUCUUUUAACAAGGCCGCUACAGCAGCGGUUGUACAGGUGUCAGCGCCCUCUGGAACUCCCACUAUCCUAACGUUAUUGCGCCGUGACCUCGACUCCAAAUCCUCACACUUAUUCUCUAACUGAGUCACGGUCACAGUGAGAGACUCGACAGUAGUCUUCAUAUGAAUCAUGUCAUCGGUGCAACCGGAGAGCGUGUGCUCCAUUUCCCCAACAGUACCUUUCAGUGUUGAUAUGGUAGCCUCGGUAGCGACUUUAUCACUGGCCAGCUGUGUUUUCACGGCCUGCAGGUCAAGCUGGAUAGUAGACAGCGUACCCCCGAGAGUCUUCUGGAGCUUCUGGAGCUCCUUUUUAAAAAUAUCGGCGAUGUCCUUCCUCAGUAAAGCCAGCAGCUCAAGCCUGAGUGCGGCGAAGUCAGGGUCACCGCUCGGCGACGCGGAUUCAGAGAGAGAAGGGGACUCGCUCACGGCGUGCACACUUGGCCUCAGUCGUGUCUGAAUACUACCACAGGUUUUCGUGUUCUUUCCAGACAUUUUAACAUACCACAAAGUUAAAAUUACAAACAAGGAAACAGAGUAGAAUAAUUCAAAAUAUAUUGUAUGACCGAAAAGCGCUAAUUAAUUACAAUUACACGAAAUCAGCAGGAGCCUCCAACUUCGCGUCCUACUCCAUCGAAUUCCGAAUUCCCAUUCAACCACAACUUUUCAACCUGCGUCACAGAGCAACAUAACACAUUCAUAAUAAAUCUACCUUCUUCCACAUACAGAAGUCUAACAGACAGAUGAUUGUCUAAAUCAGGUGUGUCUAAUCUUAUUGGGAAAGGGCCGGUGUGGGUGCAGGUUUUCAUUCCAACCAAGCAGGAGCCACACCUGAGUCUACUGAAAGCCAAGAUCAACUGAUUAAACAGGUGAAGGUAAAUUGUAAGUCGCUUUGGAUAAAAGCAUCUGCUAAAUGAAUAAAUGUAAUGUAAAUGCAGAUGUAAAUCAGGUGUGGCUCCUGCUUGGUUGGAAUGAAAACCUGCACCACACUGGCCAAUUGCAGAUAAGAUUGGACACCCCUAGUCUAGUGUUACUGACUUACAGGGGAGAGACAGUAUGCCCCUCCUAUUUUGCUCUCUUGGCCAUAGAUAUCUGUGGCAUCAUUGGGACUUGAUCUCCAGACGAUAGGGUGAAGGCUUUUCUGCUGUGCCACUCAGGAACCUGACUGAUAAAGCUUUAAAAUGCUCCUUCUAAUAGGAACCCUUCAAAAACGAGGUUUCAUCUCCAGAUAAAACUUUGUGACAUUGUGUGUGAAGAUAAUGUUUUAAGUGAUUACCUUUUUCAGCUGAAUCGUGCUGUACUUUGGCGGUGCUACCUGAAUGAAGAGGUAAUAAUAAGAGUUAAACGGGUUGCGGAUUCUGUCAGGCUUUAAUGCAGAGGAACAACACUACAUAUGAAAAAAAUUAACAUGUUUUACAUUAAGUGUCACAUAUUCCUCGUAAUGAAGGUUAGGACGGAUGCAAAUGCAGGUAAGAGUUUAUUAGAGAGAGGCAGGUAGAUAAAUCCAAAUCAUGAGACAAUAGCGUGAACGAAAUAAGAGCCAAUGGGUCAGGCGAUCUACAAACCUAUAAACUGGGCAAGGCUAGAAUCAAGAAUCAAGAACGAUAAACGAGAAACAAGGUCAAUGAACAUGAUGCAAAAUGAGAAACAAGGAACAACCGCUUGGUAUGGUGAUAACACUCAAUACUUCACAAAGUCAUGGUGUUCAAAAAGUCUCUUUUAUAGCGUGAAGUGAGUGAGUGUGAGAUUGGCAACAGGUGUGUGUGAUUAGAAUUCCAGAGAAGAUGAACGUGGGGAGGGGGAGUGUAGUCCAUGGCGGCCACGUUUUUAGGCCACAGUGCAGGAUGGGAAAUGUAAUCACUGGUUUGCUGUGAUAUGACAUUAAGAUUCAUUUAACUGACAGUGUUUACUGCAUGAAUAAAUGAUAAACUUCAGCAUUUAUAAAGUAUAAAGUUAAUAAGACAAAAGAUGUCCUGAGGAUGUCUGAAAACUUAAAAUUACAGCUUUACCUCUGACUGUUGCAAAGCACUGACACUGGAGACUCCUUCCAUUCAUGUUACAUGAACAUCUCCUUGUCACCAUAUCAACAAUUACAUACAUUUUUUAAUUUGUUUGUGUGAAGCUGUGCACAAAGUGCAUUAAUAUAAACCUACUCUACUGUCAGAGCUGUUGUUCUAGAAAAUUGCACAAUCACUAAUGUCAAAUAAACAGUGAGCAGUAUAUCUAACAAAACAAAUGAUCCAAGAGAUAAGGACAGGCCAAGCAGGUUAGUGGGUUAGCAUUCUAGCUCAGUAGUGAAGAUAAUAAAACUUUACUGUAUAUAAUUUAAAUGAAAUGUUACCUUUCCUUUUGGAGAAACACCUCCACAGAACCAGAAGUGACACUAAAACAAGCGCACAACCCCCGGCUACUAAAGCUGUUACCGUCAACCAAUCUGAAAACCAAAUCACAUGAUCACCUCAGAUGUGUUUACCAAAAGAUAAACAACUAUUUAAAAAUAAAAAUAAAACAUCUCUGUAGUUACCUGUUCAUAUACUCUCAGAUAGUGGUGCUUGAAAGUUUGGAAAUUAGAGUCAGGUGUUUUCAAUCAAUGAAAUGAUUGGUAUAAUUAGGUGUGAGUGAGCAUCCUGUUUUAUUUAAAGAACAGCGAUUAAUCAGAGUCUGAUCUUCACAACAUGUGUUUGUAGAAGUGCAUCAUGGCAUGAACAAAGGAGAUUUCUGAGGACCUCAGAUAAAGAGAUGUUGAUGCUCAUCAGGCUGGAAAAGUUUACAAAACAAUCUAUUAAGAGUAUGGACUCCACCAACCCACAGUCAUAUUGGGUAUAAAUGGAGGAAAUUCAACACCAUUGUUCACCUCCCCAGGAGUGGAGACCAACAAAGAUCACUCCAAGAACAAGACGUGUAAUAGUCCACGAGGUCACAAAGGAACCCAGGGUAACUUCCAAGCAACUAAAGUCCUCUCUCACACUGGCUAAUGUUAAUGUUCAUGAGUCCACCAUCAGGAGAACACUGAAGAACAAUGGUGUGCAUGGCAGGACUACAAGGUGGAAGUCACCGCUCUCCAAAAAGAACAUUGCUCUCCUCCUGCAGUUUGAUAAAGAUCAUGUGGACGAGCCAGAAGUGUAAUGGAAAAAUGUUUUGUGGAUGGAGGAGACCAAAAUAUAAUUUUUUGGUUUAAAUGAGAAGUGUUAUGUUUGGAUAAAGGAAAACGCUGCAUUCCAGCAUAAGAACCUUCUCCCAUCGGUGAAACAUGGUGGUGGUAGUGUCAGGGUUUGGACCUCUUUUGCCUAAUCAGGUCCACGACGACUCGGCAUCACUGAUGGAACAAUGAGUUCUGAAUUAUAUCAGUGAAAUUUAAAGGAAAAUGUCAGGACAUCUGUCUGUGAACUGAAUCUGAAGAGAAAGUGGGUCAUGCAGCAAGACAAUGAGCCUAAGAACACGAGUCGUUCUACCAGAGAACGCUUAAAGAAGAAUAAAGUUAAUGUUUUGGAACGGCCGAGUCAAAGCCCUGACCUCAAUCCAGUAGAGAUGUUGUGGAAGAACCUGAAGCGAGCAGUUCAUGUGAGGAAACCCACCAACACCCCAGAGCUGAAGCUGUUCUGUACUGAGGAACGGGAUAAAACUCCUCCGAGACGACGUGCAGAUGAUCAACACUUACCCCAAACGUUUAUCUGCAGUUAUCACUGCACAAGGGGUCACACCACAUACUGAAAGCAAAGGAGCACAUACUUUCACCCCUCACAGAUCUGUAAUACUGGAUCAAUUUCCUCAGUAAAUAAAUGACCAAGUAUAAUAUUUUUGUCUCAUUUGUUUAACUGGGUUCUCUUUAUCUACCUUUAGGAAUCUGCUGAUGUUUUAGGUUAAUGCGGAAAUGUAUAAAAUUCGAAACACAAACUUUCAAGCACCACCGUAAAUAAUAAUAUGUUAACAAUAAAAUAUAUAAUUGAUUAAUUAUUCAUUUUCAGAAUUGUUAAUUAUUUGUAAUUAUGUUAAUAAUAAUAGAAGAAUACUAAAUAAUAUGAUCAUAGUACUAAUUUAUACUUAUAACAGGAAGCAGUAGAAGAAAUUAAAAAUAAUGAAAAAUAAAUUAUAUAUAAAAUAAAACUCUAAAAUAAUAAUAAUUGUGUGGUGGAGUUUUAAUGAAAGCAAUGGUCAGACCACUUACCCCCCGUUUUCAUGAUUUUCAGAGUCUUUGAUGUCACACUGACCUCCACUGCGUUCUCAUUACAGUAAUAUCGACCAGAGUCUGAGAACGAGACAUUAAAUAUACUCAGAAUCAGACGUCUUCCUGAGCUGUAACGUCUGUCUGGAUCAGUGAUGUGUUUGAUAACCGUGUCCUUGUAGACGCUGAGAAUCUUCUCCCUUUUUCCACCCACAUCUCUGCUCCAGGUCACGUUACCGUUAGUCUCUCCACAUUUAAGCAUACAGAUGUUUUUCUCUGGACAAAAUGUUUCUGUCAGUCAGAGUGCAGGAGAAAAUACAGUGUCAGUAAACAGUCGAAGUCAAGCUGCCUCAGUAAAACUUCCUCGUUCUGUAAAACUAGUUUGCUCUUAGCUAUGUUUAUUCACUAAAUUAACCAGUGUAGAUGGUGAUAGACGUCUGUUUUGAGGGACUGUCACACCUUCCUUUAUGUGCUGCCUUCAUGUGAAUAAUUCCAACCAAAAAAGUAGAACUGGUUAUGACUCAAAGGCCUGCUGAUAUAAACCACCACCACCAACGUGCUUCUUUCCUACAGAUGUUUAAACAUCUGUCUAGUCAGAGGUGGGUAGUAACGCACUACAUUUGCUUCAUUACAUUUACUUGGGUACAUUUUUUAAAUUUAAUUUUAAGAGUGGGUUUAACUGGCCAUACUUAUACUCUUACCCAAGUUCAUUUUAAUCACAGAAAUGUACUUUUACUGCUCUACAUUCGGUGGCGUUCCUUCGUCACUGUGCAAUGUUAACCAAUUAGUUUAGAUGACAAACGAGUUCACGAGUCUCGCAAUACGCUACAGUGAUCUGAAUGUGAACGCAACAACUGCUCAAUUACCACGACGGAAACAGGACACACGCACUCUCUCUAUCUCUGUCCCUCUCUCUCCCCCUCCCUCUCUAUCUCUCUAUCGCUCUCUUUCUCCCUCUAUCUCUCUGUCUCUCUCUCUCUAUCUCUCUGUCACUCUCUCUCUCUCUCUCUCUCUCUCUCUCUCUGUCUCUCUCUCUCUAUCUCUCUCUCCCUCUAUCUUCUCUCUCUCUGCCCUUCUAUCUCUCACUCUACACACACUUUCUGUUCUGUUCCAUAGUCUGUUCUUCUGGUCUCGUUCUCUUGUUUUAAUGCAGAUGCUCACAAGUUUGUGUUAUUACCAUUUUGUGAAAAUAAAGAAAAAAAAAGUCACCUGUUGGGAAAAUGUUUGAUUUCUGUGUUGAAAAUGACAGGAUGUGUUAUUGUACCCAUCACAGGACUGGGAUACGCUGCUUCAUCUUGAACCCAGGUUUUAUAGCAUAUAAACAGAACAGAAAACCUUUCCAGGAGAGACGUGACUUACAGUUCUCCAUGUGGCCUGAGAUUCAGGAUUUUCCUUCAUUUAAUCUUACUCUUACUCAAGUCAUUAUUCACAUUAUUACUUUACUCUUACUUGAGUAGGCGUAAUUAUUUUUAAAAGUAGCUUUACUACUUAUAGUAAAACAAGUAACUUCGAGUAAAAGUUUUGGCUACUCUACCCACCUCAUCUAUUUGCGUAUACAGUAUCAAUACAUCAAUACGUUUACCGUCACAAACCACAUCCUAAAUGAAGAGGAAGAAGAAACCUCUCUGUGGUUUGAUUUCCGUCAUUACAUUUUAAUUUAAUCCAUAUAUAAGACGUUAUUUCUAAUCUGUACAUACUGUAUUUUUUCAUCAGUGGUAGAAAGAUCAGGAAUAAAAAGCUCCUUUUGCAUAAUGUGCCUAAUAUUGACUGUAUAUAGUUGGAAUGUGUUGAUAGGAGAAAUCAAAAGUUUGAGAUCUCCUGCUGUAGAGCAUUUAUGGAUCAUUGUAAUAUUGUACACAAUACCUUAACAGGUGUGGUACUGUGCAGUGCUGCUAUACUGGAAGGGUUUAGGGUUUAUAUAUAUAUAUAGGAUGUGGAAGCACUCACCGCUGUUGGCCGUGUGUACGCUCACACACAGCAGGAGACAGAUGAACCCGGUAUUCUCCAUCACGACUGAAUGUAAGAGUUAAAGAUGAAACACAGCGAACUUUACACCCUGUGAACAGACUGAAGCUCCGAGGUGCAGUGUGUGAUGAGCAGUGUGAGGAAGUGAGAUGAGGCUGAGGAAGUGAUGUAAUGUUAUGUAUCCCUGAUUGUGGGUGUGUGUUUGUGCAGUGUGUGAUGAGCAGUGUGAGGAAGUGAGA
ensembl:lncRNA